UACAUAUAUAUAUAGAGUUGGACUGGGCUACUAUUAGUAGCAAAAUCUCAUUAUUGCUACCAAUUUUUUAGCCUUUGGAUCAACUCUUUUCAUUAUUUCUAACCAUUGGAUUAAAUACUAUAACCCAGUGGGGACCACUCAACCCUAGGGGAUCACUCAACUCUAACUGACUAAUAUCAUCCUGACCCUACAAUUUUUCAUCCAAUGGUUAAAAACUUGAUAGCAAAAAGAGUAUUUUACUAUUAAUAGUAUUCCANAUAUAUAUAUAUAUAUAUAGGCCGGGCCGUCGAAGGAUAAUAAAACGAUAUGGUAGGAGAGGAGAAAUUAGGUUUAGAAGUUUUAGGAAUAGAUAGAGAAAAAAAUAUAUUUUUAAUUAAAAAAAAUAUGUGGGUACUCAUAUGCAUCCAUGGAUUGUUCAAAAUACCGACAAUAUAAUAGGUGCCGCCCAAUUUUACUCAUAAUUUUUUUUGUAAGAAAAAUUAGUAUCUAAACUCGUAAUUUUGCUAGUAACCUAUGGGUACGGGUAGAGAUUGUCCGGUCUAGUGCUAUUAAUCUUUUAGCCAUUUGAUCAAUUUUAGUAACUCUUAGAUCAUGCACAAUAAUGAGCCC
rnacentral:lncRNA from 1 species